ensembl:lncRNA
AUGCGUGCAGCUUGCACACAGCCAAGGAAAAGCUCAACGUUGUCGGAAACGCUUAGUCACACUUCUCACCUGUCUUCUUGCUCAGGUGAAAAAGAGCUCAAAGUAGCCAAUCAGAAUCCUGAAACAGAGCUAAACAUUAUUAAAGAACUACUAAACGAGUUCAGAGGGCUUCACGAGCUGAGGUUAAGAUGCUUGGAGGAGGACACCACUAGAAGGGGAGAACUCCCACAGAAGAAAGUGGACUUCCUGCAGUCUUACGUGAAUGACCUCACAGACCACAUCCAGGUGCUUGUUCAGACCAUUGAGGAUUUGCAAAGGGGAGCUGGACAGAACCAUGAUCGUGUUUUGGCUGUGUCUGGGGUUGGGUUGAAGCCUUUGUUGCUGGAUGAGGUCACUGGACCUGUGGCUCACAUCCCUCGCAGCAGUGGUUCCGUGGACCAGAUGACGUCUGAGACGGAGGAUGUGAAAAUCCAGCUGCAAACCAAUGACACGAUCGUCUCGGAUCUGGAGAGGGAGCUCGCAGAGAAUAUACAACAAAAGCAAAAGUUGGAGGCCAGCAGGAAGCAGGUGGAACGUCAGAGGAGGGAGUUAUCAGAGCUUCACCAGAAGGAGGAGACACUUUUGUGUGAGACCAAGGCCAAAAUGGUGCAUUUGAAAGACAAGCUCCGUGACGGUUUCAAGAGAAGGGCGGAGGAGAAAGAGGCGAGGAUUAAGCAACUAACUGACGAGCUGAAUGGAACGAGGCAAAAGUUACAAAUAAGUGAGGGUAUGUUAAGUGAUAUCACGGCUGCCCUGGAUCGGACCACCACCAACCUGAAUGCAGACAGACAGCAGAUCUUAGGCCAGCUGCAUCACACGAGCAAAGAGGUUGAACGUCUACAGCUGGAAUUAGCUCUCGAGCGUCGCACCGGUGAAAAGAAGAUACAGAAGAGGGAGGUUAAGAUGUGUACACUGAUGAAGGAGCUCACAGAAAGUAAGGGACAACACUCAGAGUGUCAAAAAGAGUUGCUUCGAAAAGACAGGUCUUUGGAGAAGCUCCGUGAGGAGAGGGAUGAGCUGAGAGUCCUGAUGGAGGACCGAAGCAGAGAGUGCGCACACCUUGACCGGAGCAAAGCCAAACUGGAGGCUGACUUGGCUCUGAGCCAUGAGAAACUCCACACCUCACACCUUGAGGUUCGAAGUAGAGAUGAGUUAAUUCUGCAGCUCAGAGCCGAAAUGAAGACAGCUGAACAGAAGCAUCGAGGAACACAGAAGCAGGUGACAGCUCUGGAGAAAGAGGUAAGACACUUAAACUGCACGAUCAGAGCGCACAAGGAAGAGGCCUGUCAGUUAAGCGAAAAGGUCAGCGAUAUCGAGCACCUUAAAGAGCAGAAGGCGAAAGAACAACAGCAGCUACAAGAGCGGCUCCGUAUUAAGGAGCAACAGGCUGAUGCAGUUGAAAAGAAGCUGAAGAAGGAGAAGGAGGAGGUGGAACUUCUCAAUCAGCAGCUGAAAGAAUCCAAGGAUGAGCUCAAAGAGGCCAAUUUGCACAACCAGGAGCAGAAAGAAACGGCUGCGAUUUUUAAGCAGAAAUACGCCGCAGCAAUAGAGAAGGCGCUCAGGGUGCAAGAGCAUGUGGAACGUCUGGAGGAGGAACUACGAUAUUCACAGGAACAGCUAAGAGAGUCGCAGUUAGCAGCUUCUUCGCUGAAGGAAGAGCUAGCUGAGCUGGAGUGCCGGUAUCAGGAAAAGGUUGGCCAGUGGGAGAGUUCACAGGAGGCUCUUGACCAACUAACAGAUGAACUUCAGGCCAGUCACAACCUGCUAAGAGAGAGCGAACAAAAAGUGGAGCACUUCAAAAACCUGAUGAGAUCUCUUCAGGAGCAGAUGGACACACUCAAUCAGCAGAAGCUUGCUGUGGAGUGUGACCUGCAGCUCUAUCGUCGGAGCCAUUCUCAUUCUGAUGAGGACUAUUUGAAUCUAGGAAGACUCAGACAGCAGCUGCAGAAGCGCUGUGCAGCACAGGUUGAACACCUUGCGGUGUGUGAAAACACUAUUCUUCAGAUGAAGUCAGAGCUGGAGAGACAAGUCCAGGAAAAGGUGGGUCUGAAACAAAGUCUCGCUGCUUCCCAGCAAACUCACCGGAGCAAUCAAAAACAGCUGGAACAGGAAGUGAUUCGUACAAAACAGGAAGUGGCAUCCUUAGAGCUUGAACUGGCGAACACCCAAAAGGUGCAGGUGGCACUCCUCAGGCAGUCAGAUGAGGCCAGACAAGAGUCUGCAAGAAAGAGCCGAGAGGUGGAUGUGGAGAGAAGAAAGGCCCAGAUGCUUCAGGAGGCGUUACACAAGGAGCAGGAGAAGCUGCAGAGUGCUAUCAGAGAGAAUGAGACCCUGAGCACUGUCAUCGGAAAGCUGAGGAAAGAGCUGGAGGAGCUGCGCAGCAGUCACCGAGUGACAGUGGAGGAGUUGGCAGCCCGUGCAGAGGAGGUGAGGCGGAUGGAGGGGUGUCUGAAUGAAGGCAAGCUAGCAGAGGAGAAAAUAAGGUCAAUGGCUGCGGGGCUGAAGAAGGAGCUGACAGAGGCUGUCCAUCAGAAACUCACAGCAGAGAGAGAGAAACAGGAUGCACUGGACCAGGUGAUCACGCUCCGGUCAGAGCUGGAGGGGACGCGGUCCGACAAUGCAAAGCUUCUGCACGAGAGCCAGCUGGUCAUGACUAAUGUCAACCUUUGGAUCACUGAGCAAAAGGCUUCCAGUGAGAGCGUUAUUGCCCAGAUUAAAGCCCAAAACAAAGCUCUGCUCAUCAUCACUAAAGAGAAAGAAUGUCUUCAGGAGGCUAAUGACACACUGAAGGCGGAGGUAAAGAGACUGAAAGAAGCGGUGGAUGAGAAGGAGAAAGACAUGGAACUCUUCAAGGCCCGUCUCCGGGACUGGGGAGUACAGCAAGAAAGGAAAACCAUGGAAAAGAAGGGGUGCGUUGCUCUAAACCUCAGCAAAAUCGAGGACAUGCAGACCAGACUGCAAAGCAACCUGGAGGCCAUCGGAAUGCUAAAUCAACAAUUAGGCAAUCUCAGUCAGGAGAAUAAGCAGUUGCGUAGGCAGCUGGAAGAAGAGAGGUCCAUGCAUAGACAAGUGGAGAGGAGUGGGCCCCUUCCUCCUCCCUCUACAACCGCCAUCCACCUCCCACUCUCUCUCAGUGUCAGCCCUCCUAUCUGUGCCUCCCUUCCCUCAUCCCAGGGCCUGCCUCGUCUUCUGAGCAUAGUCCCAGUGACAGGGGACACUAAUGGGACUCAAACCAAGCCGAGUACAGUCGGAGUAGAGAGACCAGCUGAUGGUCUGACAGAAAUAGAAGGGGCGUCAAGAGUCACCACGGCAGACAGAUCGCUUCAGGCUGUGGCACACACCACCUGAACUGCCUGCGCAUGUAUGCUUGUGUGUAUGUGUGUGUGUAUGUGUGUGUGAGCAUGCAUGAUUUUGUUGUACAGCCAUUAAAGCAUACUAUCAAUCAAAAAACAUCAUUAAAGUUUGUAUUUUAAAUAAAUGAUUUUAUUAAAACAUAAUUACUGAAGCACUGGUGUAAUAUAUAUUAUUUCCAGUAAAGGACAGGAGGGUGUGCGCUCGCCACACAUCAUGGUCCAGCUAAUUCUGGGAGAUUACAUUUGGGUCAUUUUGAAACAGCUCUCUUGUGGUAGUUUUGUAGCAGAAUAAUUUAUCAAAACAUUUUAUGCUGUCCCCCAAUUGAUUGUGACCAGCACUAAAAGAUGCAAUACUUAGGCAUGCAGUAUGCAUGAAAUUAUGCUAAUGCAUAACACUAGCGUUCAUAUGCAUCUGCAUAUUGAUAUAUACAGUAUCUUUUACCUGAUUACAUUAAAUCUAAUAAGUGUAGACAAACACCGAGUGAUUCAAAAUAGACAUAAAAUACAGAGCACCUGCCUUUUCCUUAUUGCGCUUUUUAAUAUAAUAAAGUAUAUAUGUGAUAUAUAGUAUA